GGUUUAUGGGACAUGAUCUCCUGCAGUCUCUCUGUAGGGUUUAUGUAGGCGUGUGUCAACAGAGAGGAGACUCUCACAAAGCACAUGCUCUCGCCUACAGACUCCUUAAAGAAGGUGAUCUCCUGUGUAUGGCUCAUUGUAGGUCAUUCCAUAGGUUUUGGAUUGGGUUGAGCUUCUUCACAGAGGACAGAAGCUUCUGCCCAGCUGAAGAAAAGCAGCUCCAAAGCAUAGUGCUGCCCCCCACCAUACCACCAUGUUGAUUUUCUUGAAGCCCCCAAAGUGAUUAUGGUCAUGGUGACAGCAUGGCCAAGUUUUUUGUCCCAUGAAAGUUCUUUAUGCCGAGCAAUUCACAUAGUGAGCAACCUGAAAG